UCAGGAUGAACGCUGGCGGCGUGCUUAACACAUGCAAGUCGAACGAUGAUCCCAGCUUGCUGGGGGAUUAGUGGCGAACGGGUGAGUAACACGUGAGUAACCUGCCCUUAACUCUGGGAUAAGCCUGGGAAACUGGGUCUAAUACCGGAUAUGACUCCUCAUCGCAUGGUGGGGGGUGGAAAGCUUUAUUGUGGUUUUGGAUGGACUCGCGGCCUAUCAGCUUGUUGGUGAGGUAAUGGCUCACCAAGGCGACGACGGGUAGCCGGCCUGAGAGGGUGACCGGCCACACUGGGACUGAGACACGGCCCAGACUCCUACGGGAGGCAGCAGUGGGGAAUAUUGCACAAUGGGCGAAAGCCUGAUGCAGCGACGCCGCGUGAGGGAUGACGGCCUUCGGGUUGUAAACCUCUUUCAGUAGGGAAGAAGCGAAAGUGACGGUACCUG
rnacentral:rRNA from 1 species